AGCAGCCGCGGUAAUUCCAGCUCCAAUAGCGUAUAUUAAAGUUGUUGCAGUUAAAAAGCUCGUAGUUGAAUUUCGGGGUCAGUAGGUUGGUCAUGCCUUUGGUAUGUACUGGUCUCACUGAUUCCUCCUCUUGAAGAACUGUAAUGUCAUUAAUUUGGUGUUGCGGGGAAUCAGGACUGUUACUUUGAAAAAAUUAGAGUGUUUAAAGCAGGCUUACGCUUGAAUACAUUAGCAUGGAAUAAUGAAAUAGGACGUUUGAUCCUAUUUUGUUGGUUUCUAGGAUUGACGUAAUGAUUAAUAGGGAUAGUUGGGGGCAUUAGUAUUCAAUUGUCAGAGGUGAAAUUCUUGGAUUUAUUGAAGACUAACUACUGCGAAAGCAUUUGCCAAGGAUGUUUUCAUUAAUCAAGAACGAAAGUUAGGGGAUCGAAGACGAUCAGAUACCGUCGUAGUCUUAACCAUAAACUAUGCCGACUAGGGAUCGGAUGAUGUUAAUUUUUUAAUGACUCAUUCGGCGCCUUAC
rnacentral:rRNA from 1 species